rnacentral:rRNA from 1 species
GUAGGUGGCAAGCGUUGUCCGGAAUUAUUGGGCGUAAAGCGCGCGCAGGGCGGUCCUUUAAGUCUGAUGUGAAAGCCCACGGCUCAACCGUGGAGGGUCAUUGGAAACUGGGGGACUUGAGUACAGAAGAGGAAAGCGGAAUUCCAAGUGUAGCGGUGAAAUGCGUAGAGAUUUGGAGGAACACCAGUGGCGGAGGCGGCUUUCUGGUCUGUAACUGACGCUGAGGCGCGAAAGCGUGGGGAGCAAACAGGAUUAGAUACCCUGGUAGUCCACGCCGUAAACGAUGAGUGCUAAGUGUUAGGGGGUUUCCGCCCCUUAGUGCUGCAGCUAACGCAUUAAGCACUCCGCCUGGGGAGUACGGCCGCAAGGCUG